GCGGAAGCGGCGGCGGAAGCGGCGGGAGCGGGCGGAGCGAGCGGAGCCAUGUCGGGCCGGGAGGGCGGCAAGAAGAAGCCGCUGAAGCAGCCGAAGAAGCAGACGAAGGACCUGGAUGAGACGGAUCUGGCAUUCAAACAAAAACAAAAGGAAGAGCAAAAGAAACUUGAGGAGAUGAAAGCAAAAGCUGCUGGGAAGGGGCCCCUGGCCAGUGGUGGAAUAAAGAAGUCUGGCAAAAAGUAGCUUGAUCAAACUGCAGGGUAAGAAGCGAUCAAGUUACUCAAUGGACCUGCAGACUUCAGAGAGUCUUGAAAACACUCUUUCAUUUGGGAAACAUUGUACAUUUUGUUUUGUCAGAAUAAAUCUUUUUUGUUAAGAUGUGAUAUUUGCUCUUUACCUGUAGGUUUUGUUUAAAAAUGGCUUUACUGUUUUAUACUGGAAAUGAAACUUUACUGAAGACCAUGUAUACCCUUGUGCAGCCUGAGUGCAUCUGGUGGUUUGGUAGUCAUUUGUGAGAAUAAAUUUCAACUUCUCCUCUCUUUUGA